rnacentral:rRNA from 1 species
UCGAGAAUCUUCCGCAAUGGACGAAAGUCUGACGGAGCGACGCCGCGUGAUGGAUGAAGUCCCUCUGGGACGUAAACAUCUUUUAUGAGGGAGAAAGUUUAUUGAUAGUACCUCACGAAUAAGGGGUUGCUAAACUCGUGCCAGCAGCAGCGGUAAUACGAGUGCCCCGAGCGUUAUCCGGAAUCAUUGGGCGUAAAGGGUGUGUAGGUGGCAUUGUUAGUCACACGUUAAACCCUGGGGCUUAACCCCAGAUCUGCGUGUGAUACGGCAAAGCUAGAGGAUGGCAGGGAUGUAUGGAACUCAUGGAGUAGGGGUGAAAUCCGUUGAUAUCAUGGGGAACACCGAAAGCGAAGGCAGUACAUUGGGCCACUCCUGACACUGAAACACGAAAGCGUGGGUAGCGAAUGGGAUUAGAUACCCACGUAGUCCCUGAGCGGGCUGGCAAGGCGCAU